GCAUUCUUGGUGUAGUGGUCAGCACGCUUGCCGCUUAACCGAGAGGUCCGUGGUUCAAUUCCCGGUGAAGGUG
rnacentral:tRNA from 1 species